GAGCCUUGGCACAUACCAAGCUCUCAGUGAAGUCCCCAGCAGGAUGGGGAACCCAACGCAGGCUCAACAACAGUCAUAAAAAUGGAAGAAAAACAGCAUCGCCUUCAGUCCCCGAAGCGUGCACCCAGUGGGAAGCUGCCUGGGAACUGCCUUCCUGUGGGAAAGCACCCAAAGCCUUGUCCUUUUAGCUCUGAAGGGGCUGAGUCUGCUCUACAGAGAUAGGUUUUGAUGGGCUCUUAGCAAAUAAGCUGCGUUUCCCCCCCCUCCCAGCCUGCUCCACCGCCAGCUGGCAUCGUUCGUAAGAAAUGCUGCAACUGGGCCGGGCAGAUAGGCGUGAUGCCAAGACAAGAUGCCUUCUUGUUGACCUAGGAAGAGUAAAAAUGUUGGGCUCAGUAUGGAAAAAAAAAGACCUACUUGGAGGAAGUUAUAAAAAAAAAAAAUAAUAUCACACAAAUACGUCUGUGAACUUGGCCGCUCUACAGCGGCGGUGCCGAAAAUAGCUGCAAAAACCAGGCUGCAUCAUGGUCAGCAAAGCUCCCGAGAGCUGCGGCUUCUGCUGAAGCGUGAGGAGCCAGGGUGUGACAGGAGGAAGGUGAUGCCACAUCUCCUGGCGAGGGCUCGCUGCGUCUUGAGGAAUUCACCUGUUCUAGCAUCUCGCACGUUUGAAGGUCAACUUACACUUAUUGGCUGGGUUUUGGAGGGCUUGAAAAAGUACUUGUAUGAACUUUGGGGAAAAAAAAAAACCAAACAAACCCAGAAGCAAAUGAAACACAAUCUCCGCAGGAAAUUUUGACAUAAUUACUCUGACUCAACUGUUUAAUAUUACCUGUGUUAUGUAACUGUUGGUCUCAACGCUUUCUUCUUAUCUUGUGAGCGUGCUACUGGGCGUUAAUGGAGAUAAAAGGAUUUGUCAGAGAAUGAAAAUGUCAGAAAUAAAGGAGAGGAGCUACUUUGCAGAAUUUCACUCAUCUUCACAGAUUGAAUUUUAAAUUAGUAGAAAUCCGCCCUGGGACAGGGCCGCUGGCGAAGCUGCGGGCUCGUCCGCUCAGCCAGUGUCGCAGGGAGUAGCCAAAGCUAGAGCCAGUUCCCAAAGUGUUCGUGGUCCGGUGGCUCACCAGGACUUUGGUUCAAGACACCCAGCUCUAACCGAUGAGUUCUGGGAGGCGCACGCACAGCCGUGUGGACCAUCUUGAAUAGUGUCUGCCUGUCGGUAAGGAGUUGGUCCAUCUGCCCCAUUGUGUCAGCGGUCCCAUGUGCUGGAGAGGGGAGCAGGUAUGAAACUGGGCUUUUCUUCCAUCAAGAAAAAUGCUUUAAAUCAAGUUCUGUGCAUAUGCUAAGAAAAGAAAAGAAAUACAGGAGAUGAAUAGCGCACAAGCUCAGAGACUCAUGUUAAGCUGCCUUUGAGGCGGUGGGGGCUUACACCAGAAAGAAUAGGACAGUGUUGGGCCUAUUUAUUUUUUAUCCAGAAUUAAUUAAUGGUUUAUUUAGUCAGCAAGGAGUCACAGAAUAAUACAGAUUUAUCUUCUUUUGCAACAGUAAGAUAAAUUUGAUUAAUCUGAUCAUGUGGCCCUGAUGAUUAGUCCAUCUCACAUGACACAGAGCUGUUUGAUCACUGUACUAGAAGGGGUUGUUUCGAGGCCGAGACCUUUCUUUGUAGAUGCUGUGCAGGCAAUGGUUACUUCUGCCAUUAAAUGUCAGGCUCUUCGCUAGUUCUGCUUCCUGCACUAGGCACGGCUCCAGCCUUACCCGGCCUGCUGACGGGGAGAUGUUGCAAGCUUCAAGAGCUCAGAUUUGGUCCUGAGCUUGGACAAUGCUGGUGGUAGAUCGAAGACUGAAACCACCAAGAGAUCAGGUCUUCCCUUCCUGCACGGGUGCUUCUGGUUUACUUCGCGUUAGAGCACAUUUGUGUUCCUGCUGGUUGGCAACGAGAUCCUGGAGUCCACCAUUAGCUUGACUAAGAGCUAGGUCAGGGGUCCCCUACAUGGCCAUCUGCUCCCGCUGGCAGGGAGGGGAGGCGAAGUGAUGGAGACCCCAGUGACACCCGUUGCAAACUGGGCAGUGUGGUGUUUGGAGCCCGUGGAGAGAUUCACUGGGGUGGGGGACGGGGACCGCUAAGAUGGUAUUCUGUAAGCAUCCAAAAUAAUGGCUGUCUCAAAGGGUCUGAACUGGUCUAGUUGCGUGGUACCCUGGGUGCCUGGAGACACCUUGGAAGGCGUGCUGCUUCACCAGGGACCUCGCCAAUACUUUCCCCAUCUUUUCACCUGCUGAGCAAAGCCUUCAGUGUGGCAACGAGCACGAGGGACGAAGUGCAGCUCGGGCGGCUCACAGAGCACAAGCCUUUGUGUCACCUGAGUUCUAGGAAAUGAGGUUACUGCAAGAGGUAUCCCCUUGCAAGGGAGAUGUGUCCAAACCUAUCUGACACCUGAGGCUGCCUGAAAUCAAACCUCGGUGCUGUAUGUUGCUUUGCUGCAGCCAUCCAAGAAGGUCUGGGAGGCUAAAUUUUGUUGAUGGCUUGGUUGAAAGAUCUGCAUUCCCGGGCACGGCGGGUUUCCCCCAUGGACCAUUAUCGUCUCCUGGCUCCGUGGACCGUUACCGGCUCAGGGAUGAAGCGUGAAGAGCAGAACCUCGCUGUGCACAACCCGAGUGUUGGGAGAUGCUCCACUCCUGCCCCAGCCUGACACCCUGUGCGACUUUGCAUCAAACCACUCGGUCUCUUUGCGUCGCUGUACCUAGCCAUCCUCGCCCGGGGUAAUUCCAGCUUCCCUGCUCGCACGGAGCUGGUAGGGGAAUUUCAAGCUUCGGCGGUGGAUUCACACGUGGAAGCGGAGCUCUGCGUGCUGUGCUCCACGAGGGGAAGCAGCUUGUGGGAAAGCACUUGAUGCAUGGUUUAUACCCAGAAGAGUCAUGGGAUGAAGCCAAGGCUGGGAAACUUUCCCCAUGGAAGUGGGGAUGUGGAGGGGGUUUCUGGGGAAGGAGCAGUCGAUGGUCCGCACAGCCAGCAGCUCCGGCGCUCCCGACCAGCGGCUCGGCGACGGCCAAGGGAAAGCUCUCGCCAUCCGGCGCCUGUUGGGUGUCUACCGUGACAAGGGGACUCCGCAGGGAAAUGCAGAAGAAAGGCGGUCAAGUUAGUCCUGAAUCCGAAUUCAGGCUCACAGCCAUGUGCUUUGCAAAUGGUAAAGAUUAAGAUCUUGAUUUUGGCAUUUCUUGUGCAAUCUGCAGCCAGAACGUGGCCUGUGUCUGCUCGGUGUGCAAGCCUUGGGAAGGCUGGCAUGCUGCGUGUGUAUUUUUAGGUCACUUCCAGAGAAGUGGUUUCAUUUCAAUGGAACCAGCUGGCUGCCUUGGCACUCAGCCGUGUUGUAAUGGGGAUGAAGGGGAGCCUCCACCUUACAACAUCUUGCUGCCAAAGGUUUGACUUCGCUCACGCAUCUGUUACUGCUUGAUUUAUCUUCACUGACGUUCAGGCUCUGACCCUACCAAGAUCAUUAUCAGACUGUUUCUGGAUUUCACUGGCCAGAUGCUCAAAAGCAGGAGCCCCCAGCAAGGGCUUCCUCUACCUAACACAAAAUAAAGACCAACCUGUGCUGAAAUAAUUCAUCCCACUUUAAUCCCUCUCUUCAGGAGGUCUCUCUGCCUUCCUGGAACAACCUGGUUCAUUAGAAAUUGGGCUUUUGAAUGCAUUAGAAAUAUAGACCUCCUAUUGCCACAGGCACGAGGGGACAUGGCAGAAUGAACGUGCAUGUGGUAGCUUAAUAACCUAGUCUUCUGGGGUUGUCAGACUUUUUGCAGGAGGUUUGAAACAGGGACCAGUUUUAUCUCACACCAGGCACCAGCUCCUCAACUAGCUGUGCAACUCCAUAUAGAUUUCUCAGUGUAAAAUACAGUACUGCACAAUAAUCGGAUAUUAUUUAGAAAGCAUUUGGUAAGUAACAUCUGCUGCACUGAAAAUUAAAUUAAGUGUGUUAAAUAGUAGUUUAAAGAAAACAGGUUUGGGGGAAAAAAAUCUUUGAAGAAACCUAUUUUAGUUCAGAUUUCAGAUUUAAAUUUCCUCAAAGAUACCAUCAGGAUUCAUUUCUCCUUUGCACAUGUAACAUAUUUGUUCAUAUAUGCCAUUAUACAGCUCCGUUCAAGCUGAAUAUUAUACUGGAAUACAGCAAAAGACAAAUUUGAGAUAUGAAACUGGAGGAGACCAUAUUUCAUACUGCAUAAAAUGCACCUCUGGAAUUUUCAGUUCUUGUUUUCUGCAGUAUUACAAAUGUCUCCAUAAAGUAUCAUGGCUGAUGAGCUGGGGGAAAAAAAAAAAAGAAAAAAGAAAAAAAAAAAGAAAAAAGAAAAAAAAACCUUGUGGCUUUGGAUAUAUUCACUUCAAGUUUGUGGUUAGUAUUUCCCAGGCUGCUUGAGGUGAGGGUAAGUUCAGUCAUUGCACCGCUGCUUCACUAGUCUCUGCUGGUGUUUCUAAAUGAUUCUGAUAAAAGAUUGUGAAAAAUGGGCCUGUGGUAAAUUGCAUCAUCCUUGUUAUGCAUUUCAAGAUGGGGCCACAACACAGGCUGUGUGUCCAGGUCACGCUCAGCCUUCCCUCGCACUCCUCCUCCAUCCCUGCAGCAGGCACCGGCGCGGUCCAGCCGGCACAGCCCACGCCGGGCGGUGCGAACCCGCUGCAUUCUGCCGUGAAUUAACGGCGGAUCCGGGCGUCUCUGGCCAUGCCGGUUCCCUCUUUUGCACUAGAAAUUUUGCAUUAGCUGGUGGUCAUGGAGAUGCCAGAUUUCACUUUGAUAGAAGAGAAAAAGCUGCUCCGGGUAGAAGCGCCCAGCCACUGUGCACAGGACCCCCGGCAGCUACAGGUGUUCAGGUGGGGUGAGACUGAUUUGAACUGAGAAACCCUAGGACAGCACUCCACUUUCUCACUGCCUGUGCCCUGAACUGGCCAACCGCUCUUUAAACCCCUUUCUUUCCAAAAUACAGAGCUUUUUCCUUCUCAAUCUUUGAGAGGUUUUACUUUAACCUCAUUAAACUUCAUUGCCAAAAUCCAAAGCAGGUUGAGAUGAAGCAGCCGAUACCCGAGAACACGAGUUACAAAUUGGCGCCGAAGAACCGCUUGCAGUAAAACAGCCUCUCCGUACGCGUCUUUAAACACCGUUCGUCGCCGCGAGUUACCAUGGGAAGAAGUGGGGAGUCCCUGGUUUGGCAGAGUUACGUUUGAAAUUAAACCAAGCCCAGCCUCUCUGGGUGCAGCCAGGGCUGCUGUCUGCUGGCUCGUUGCAUGAGGCUGCUUGUUGUGGUGCUGGGAUAUAGUCAUGUCUUUUAUUUGUAUGUAAAUAGAAGAAAGCAGAAACAUAAACCCUCACAUGUACUUGGCUAUUCUAAAAUAAACCCACACAACCACACAUUUUGAGAGAGGUAACGCAGAUGCUACAACCAUAGCGAGUGUGAGCAUCCCUGCUCGCUGCCUGCUGCGCCGGCUUGUGCUGUCCCCACAGGUGCGAGCCUGGGGUUACGUUACUCUGGGGUGUCCUGUGAUCCCCACGCCCAAACCUGUCCUGCUUUCAGCUGGGAUAGGGGUGAUUUCCCUCCUAGUAGCUGGUACAGUGCUGUGGUCUGGAGCUCGGAUGAGAACAACGUUGGUAACACACCGAUGGCUUAGUUGCUGCUGAGCCAAGGACGUUUCAGCUUCUCGUGCUCUGCUGACCGAGAAGGCUGGAGAUGCCCGAGAAGCCGGAGGGGGCACAGCCGGGACAGCUGGCCCCAGCUGGCCCAAGGGAUGUUCCGUGCCGUACGAUGCCGUGCUGGGUGUGUAAACCAGGGGCGAGC